rnacentral:lncRNA from 1 species
ACUAGACUCCUCCCGAUUUCCUUAUUUAACAAGCAUAUUAUAAAACAUAAUACGGAAAAGGAUCUAAAAUACCCUCAAAGUAUUGAAAAUGAUAUAAAAUUACCCUCCAUCCACCUAUUGGCUCUAAAAUAUCCUUCCCACCAACCUAUUGGGUCCAAAAUACCCUUGUCAUCCACCUUUUGGUUCAAAAUUGAUUACUUAUUUAACGGUUUUAUAUUUAAACUAUUUAAAUAUUUUUUAAAAUACGUGGCGCUCAACUAUUUGUUAUAAUUUAACUUAUUAGUAUAAUUUAUAAAUCAAUCCACUACCCAUCCAUUACUAAUUAAACCCUCCAAAUUAAUAAAUUACUCACAUUAUUAAUGCAACAAUAGAAAAACUACUGCCAAUUGAUUGUUUUAAAAAAUUUGAGACGAAAAUAUCUAUAGAAGUAAAUUAUCAUACAUUCAAGUGUCUAAAUAAAAAUUACUGAUAAACUUAAAAGUCUGACUAUGUUCAUCUUAAUUAUUCUUACGUCUCAAUUAUGUAUGUUACUUCAUAGGUAGCCUUUUUUCAAAAUAAUUAAAAGUUUUAAAUAAAUCAUAAAUAUUUUAUAAAAUUAUAUUUUAAAAAAGUGCAUGAAUUAAUUCGGGAUGUAUUACUUCUUUACCUUUAAUCAUAAAUUUCUAAUUCAAUCUUGAAAGAGAAUCAAAUUGAAAGUGUCCUCCUAAAUAAGCGGCUCAACAUAAAUUUAAUUGGGGCUUCGAUUCGGACUCGAAUAAUUUUGGAUGUCAUUUUCAUUAAUCUAUAAUUAUUCGUGUUUUAGCAGUGUUUAUGACAAUUUUGAUAUUAUAGUUGGCUUAUUUAUGGGGUGGGGUUUAGUUAGUAAUGGGUGGGUAGUGGAUUGGUUUAUAAAUAAUACAAAUAAAUUAAAGUAUAAGCAAUAGUUGAACAUCAAGUAUUUUAAAAAUAUUUAAAUAGUUUAAAUUUAAAAUCAUUAAAUAAGUGGUCAAUUUUGAACUCAAACGUGGAUGACAAGGGUAUUUUAGAGCCAAUAGGUGGAUGAAAAGGGCAUUUUGGAGCCAAUAGGUGGAUGAAGGGUAAUUUUGUACCAUUUUCAAUACUUCAAGGGUAUUUUAGACCCUUUUCCGAACAUAAUAUUAGAUUAGCUACUUAUCGAUUCAAAUAAACAUAGAAAAAAAUUCUUAUCGAAGAGCAUUCACUGCUCACUCCCUUUUUGUUAUUUAUUUUACUCACACAACUCAAUCAACUGAAUA